ensembl:lncRNA
AUAGGUGUGAUGCUGUCUUUUUUCCAGUCACUCAGGGAGGCACUCUUUUUGAUCUAAUGCAAUGGUUUCCUAAAAUUCAGUCCAAUUGAAAUUCUCUUUUGUCUAGUUACAAGGACUUCCAGCAGAUUGCGAGCUUGGGCUUUACAGGUCAGCGGUGGAGCCAACAGGGAGGCCUCUGGAUUUUUGAAGAGGACUGAGAAGGCUGAGAAUCAGGACUUCUUCAAAGAGAUGUGAGGACUCCACUGAGGACCUUGAUGGACGCAGCAGGAAGCCACAGCCAACGCUGGACACCAACAUCAACACUUGAUCUUGUCUGGCAAGGUCUAUUGUUCCCAGAGGGCGUUCUUGCUGUUCUGGCCAUUCGAUGGAAUUGGAGAUCCCCUUGGCUUCCGUGUCUCGCUCUGGCCAGGCAGAUGUGGUGCGCCAACGGUAUGCAGAGUCCAGACCCUGAGCAGAACAACUGAGGAGAGAGGCUGCCCUGGGGCUCACCAAGUCCAAAUGUUCCCCGAUGGAGUCCAACUCCAGCUUGACCAACACUCACCCGGUCUGUCCCCGCACCAGCUGGCUUAGGGCUCCCCAGCAGUGCUGGCUGUCGCUGCCUUCUGUCGCUCCCAAUCGGCAUGGCUCUGUUCUUUGCCUUUUGGGUUCCAGAGUGUUUGCUACAGGUUAUGGAGUGUUUCUCUUCUCUCUCUUCUUGUCCUCCAUGUUGCCUGUUGGCGCCUCGGUGGAGUUUCAGUGACCCAAAUGCAGACUGCUCUGCGUUGCCCAAGCGUGAUGCCAAGAGAAGAGGUAGGCACCAGAACAGGCUGCUGGACUGGAGACUCCGCCACCAGGUGCCGUUGUCAUUCCUGACCUCCCCAGGUUGUGGCGUUGGACGUGCCCUGAUCCUUGGAAAGGGGAGGCAGUGGAGAGUUGUGACCCUCCCGAGUGCUGCAAAGGCUCUACUGAGGCUCUUGGUGGACACAACAGGAACCUGCACGCACAGAUGGAUGCCAAGAUCCGCUCCUUCCUCUGUCUGGCAAGCUCUGCUGACCCCUGAGGGGUCCCCCGUUCUGAUGGGAUCUCCGUGCCUUCUGCUGAUCCCAGAGAACAUGGGUUUGUUCUCUUAUAUCCAGUAACCCGAAUGUAGUCUAGUAAGGUUUGCUCAAGUGAGAUGGAAAAUGAAGAGGUAGGCUCCAAAACAGACUUGCGUAUUGGAGACUUAUCCACCACAUGGUGAUGCCUUCCCUGACCUCCUUGAUUGCAGUGUGGGAUGUGCCCUGAUCCUUGGAAAGGGGUGAGUGAUUCCUUCAUCCUUACUAGAAGGUAAUCUCUACUUACCUUUUCUUGUGUCCAUCAGGUGGCACUGGAGAGUUGUGACCCUGCUGAGCAGUGCAAGGACUCUACUGAGGCUCUUGGUGGACACAGCGAGAACCCACACCCAUAGAUGGAUGCCAAUAUCUAUUCCUUCCUGUCUGGCAAGCUCUGUUGUCCCCUGAGGUCGUUCCCAUGCUUGCAGAGGUCCUAUGGGCUUGUUGUUGGUUUACCCUUGUGCUCACUUGGCUUUCCAAGGGUGUUCCUCUUACUUGACAACACCUUUCCCAGUCUCCAUUUCCAAGCAGGAGCUCCCCUUGGCCUCCGUGUCUCGCUCUGGCCAGGCAGAUGUGGUGCGCCAACGGUAUGCAGAGUCCAGACCCUGAGCAGAACAACUGAGGAGAGAGGCUGCCCUGGGUGAGACAGGAGAAGUGCCCCUUGAAGCGGGGGACGCCCCGCUGGCGCUGCCUCUCGCAUCCACCGGCAGCACGUUCCUUCUCUCUCCUUGCUGCCCGGCGCUUUGCCGUCUCCCAGGGCUCACCAAGUCCAAAUGUUCCCCGAUGGAGUCCAACUCC